AGACCUAUGUAAAGUUCCUUCGAAGAGUCGAGUUGUUUGGGAAUGCAGCUCUAAGUGGGUGGUAAAUUCCAUCUAAAGCUAAAUAUUGGCGAGAGACCGAUAGCGAACAAGUACAGUGAUGGAAAGAUGAAAAGAACUUUGAAAAGAGAGUGAAAAAGUACGUGAAAUUGUUGAAAGGGAAGGGCUUGAGAUCAGACUUGGUAUUUUGUAUGUUACUCUCUCGGGGGUGGCCUCUACAGUUUACCGGGCCAGCAUCAGUUUGAGCGGUAGGAUAAGUGCAAAGAAAUGUGGCACUGCUUCGGUAGUGUGUUAUAGUCUUUGUCGAUACUGCCAGCUUAGACUGA
rnacentral:rRNA from 1 species